rnacentral:rRNA from 1 species
AUUGAACGCUGGCGGCAUGCCUAACACAUGCAAGUCGAACGAGAUUAAAGGGGCAACCCUUUAAUUUAGUGGCGGACGGGUGCGGAAUGCGUAGGAAUCUACCCUAAAGUGGGGAAUAACUCGGGGAAACCCGAGCUAAUACCGCAUAUGCUCUACGGAGUAAAGGGGGCGCAAGCUCUCGCUAUAGGAUGAGCCUACGUCGGAUUAGCUAGUUGGCGGGGUAAUAGCCCACCAAGGCAACGAUCCGUAGCUGGUCUGAGAGGAUGACCAGCCACACUGGGACUGAGAUACGGCCCAGACUCCUACGGGAGGCAGCAGUGGGGAAUAUUGGACAAUGGGCGAAAGCCUGAUCCAGCAAUGCCGCGUGUGUGAAGAAGGCCUUCGGGUUGUAAAGCACUUUCAGUGGGGAAGAAAAGUUUAGGGUUAAUACCUCUAAGCC